rnacentral:lncRNA from 1 species
AGUGCGCAGGCGUGAGAGUCCCCGGUGGCUACUUAAGGGAGGCUGGCUCGCUGUUCUUCCUUUCGCGUCUGCGGCGCUUUGUCUUCUUUGUGGUCUGCUGUCUUUUCUUCAUCCGAUGUCGUCUCAACCCUGGAAUCAGAAUUUACUACUGUAUGUGAUUUGCGUGAUCAGACGCUACAGAAUGAAUCUUGGCGGAGGGGUCCCUGCUGGGGCUCAAAGGGAACCACGUGUCGACAGGCACAACCUUCAGCUUCCUGACCUCUGGAGCUCACUGUUGGCAGCAAACAGGCAUUGAAUGGACCAUGAUGGAUCCAGGAUUGGGAGAGAAUUUGACCAGAGCCCUGUGUACAUCAGGGCCUACAUAGGUUGAUGGCAGCCUGAUUGCAGUUUGGUUCAGUUCUGUAACAGGAGUUUCAACUGUGGAGUCAGAAUGCAAGGCCUCUUGAGAAAAAUGUACAUUUACUUCUGAAGCAUGAAGCAUGAAGGUUUGGGUUGUUGUGUAACCUAAGUGUGUAGAGGUAAAAAGCUUGUGGCUGUUUUGGUUAUUUUACUUUGUAGCCUUCCUGUCUAGAGAAAUAAAAUAAAAUCCUUUAAAUGAA